rnacentral:rRNA from 1 species
GUCCAUGCCCUAAAACUAUGGAUGCUAGCUGUUUGAGGUAUCGACCCCUUAAGUAGCGAAGCUAACGCGUUAAGCAUCCCGCCUGUGGAGUACGAGCGCAAGCUUAAAACAUAAAGGAAUUGACGGGGGACCCGCACAAGCGGUGGAGCGUGUUGUUUAAUUCGAUGGUAAGCGAAGAACCUUACCCAGACUUGACUUCCUUGUCGUCGAUCUUCGAAAGAAGAUUUUCAUUUAGUUGGACAAGUGACAGGUGUUGCAUGGCCGUCGU